ncrna:unclassified sequences Transposase-2 RNA
GAAACGCGAACCAAGCGACGGCGUAAGCCGUGUGAGUCUUGGAGCUGGCCUCGGCAACGAGGCCAUGCA